AAAAGUCCUUCAUACUACUAAAUAUUCAUGGUAACAUGUGAUAAUUUUCUUUUCCCCAUUAUAAAAUUUUCUUCUCCAUAUGGUCCUGAAAUGUAAAGUAUAACGUUACCUGCGAAAGGUGUCAGUGGAUGUUAAAAAUACCCAGAUAUCAAUGUAUAUAAGAAACAAUAGGGGACCCAAGACUAUAACCUUCAUAUUAUUUUCACAGGCUCUCGUGAAUUUUAACAGCUUGUACUCUUUGUGACAAAUAAUUUUGUGAUUAAAUUGAAGGAACUAUUAGUUUGUAAUGGUC